CGGCACCCUUUGUCCCCAGGAGCAGCCCCGCCCAGGUCCCUGUAAGCAGGGCUGGGGAGGCUCCUUUAGCCAGGCGACAGGAACGAGCGCUCCCGGGCCCUUGCCAGGGGGCAGCUUGCAGAAGGGCCGUGCCGCAGGGCACGGUCCCGCCUUUGGCACUGCCUCGGGCUGGCGCCACAUGCCUGGCGGCCUUGUAGAGGAGGCUGCCGAGGCUCUGCAGACGGCUGUGCUGCCGUGCUGCGCUGCGGCCGGGCUCCGGCCUGUCCCUAAGUGGGGUGCAGGCCGGAGCCUGUGCUCCGCAGUGCUUGUUGGGGGGUGCCGGGCAGCAGGGGGCGGCCCCGUAAGUGGGGUUCUGUGCGUCCCCUGGCCUCGGCGGGCGGUUGGAGGGACCCCCUGUAAUCAGGCGGGUGUCCCUGGCCCCAGUCUUUCAGAGGCAUGGGGCCAGGAGUCAUGGGGCCGGGCGUGUGCCCUCCCUGUCCUCGGGGCUGGGCUCGCGGCCCCUCGGGCCCCUCGGCUUUAGGCCGUGAGCUCGACUGCCUGACUGUAGAGUCAGGUUCCUGUUGCCUUGGGGGAAGGCCGAGCUCCGUGGCUCCCUGGGUGUGGACCGGCCUGUAAGCAGGCUGCGGGUCUGGGAGCCUUUGUGCUCCCUUCAGCUGGCAGCCUGUGUGCGGCGCCCGCCCCGUUAGUGGGGAGCGCCCCGGAACUGGAGAGAAGGAGCCUCCAUAGGCCUUGGGGACCAGAGCCGCCCUGUAAGUGGGGGCCAGUGCUCUGGAGUCCCGGGCACUUUGAAGUCCAGGCAGCGGCUUGAGCCCCCUGUAAGCAGGGGUGCAGCCUCUUGGCCGCUGCUUUGCGUGCCCAGCUUCAUUUGCCCAGAGGGCCCGGCUCCCAGCACGGCGUGGGACUGCGCCGGACGUCGCCAUGAACUGUGGGACGGCGAGGCAAGAGAGAGCUUGGAGCUGAAGAGGGACACCAGGGGCCCUCUGGGCAAAGGGCUUUUCCAGGCCAGGGCACCUUCAGGGUGCCGCGGCCGGCUUUGCGCUGGGCGACCUCCCUGUGCGCAGGGCUGGGUCUUUGCUGCGGUUGGCCUUUUGCCCUUGUGCUCCUUUGGCUGCCCGGAGAGAGGGGCAACCCUGUAAAGGAGGGUGAGUGCCCCUGUCUCCGCACCGGAGGGGGGAAACGGAGCUCUCCCGGCCCCCAGCCCAGCUACCCUGUAAGCAGGGCAGGGCUUUUCCCCAGCCCCGGCAGCUUUCUGCCUGCUGCCAGCCCCUGGCCAGUGUGACCCCCUGUACUCGGGGCGUGUCACAGCCCGUGUCCCCGUGCCAGGCCUGAAGCGCUUCAGCGCGUCGAGGCCCCUUGUGGCCUCCUCUCAGUGCACGGGCAGGUCUGAUGCUUUCCUCUCCCGCUCAGCAUUAGGAAUGGCUCCCUAGAGUAGGUUGGCUGCACAGAGCUUGCUCCCUCUUCUGGGACUGUCUCCCCCUCUCCUGUCUUCCCCUUAGCCGGUGUGAGUGAGGAAGUGUGUUUGUGCUUUCGCCCCCCUUCUUUAGAAACAGAGCAGUGUAGCUCAGACUUCCCAGGAGGGAAAGAGGAGCUCUGUGCAGCCACAGGCGGGUGCCCAAAAUGCACGGGUGGAGAAAGCGUCCGGCCUUGCCCCUGCUUUCUGAGGACGGCGCGAAGCCGCUUAGCGGCAGCGUGGGCACCACGACCCGCCUGUAGCCAGGGCCUGGGCGUGCGCCCACGCUGCCGGUGGUGCUGGUGAACUGCCAGCGUGCGGGCCCCGUACUCGGGGCACGUGUCAGGACCUUGGCGGCACCCUUUGUCCCCAGGAGCAGCCCCGCCCAGGUCCCUGUAAGCAGGGCUGGGGAGGCUCCUUUAGCCAGGCGACAGGAACGAGCGCUCCCGGGCCCUUGCCAGGGGGCAGCUUGCAGAAGGGCCGUGCCGCAGGGCACGGUCCCGCCUUUGGCACUGCCUCGGGCUGGCGCCACAUGCCUGGCGGCCUUGUAGAGGAGGCUGCCGAGGCUCUGCAGACGGCUGUGCUGCCGUGCUGCGCUGCGGCCGGGCUCCGGCCUGUCCCUAAGUGGGGUGCAGGCCGGAGCCUGUGCUCCGCAGUGCUUGUUGGGGGGUGCCGGGCAGCAGGGGGCGGCCCCGUAAGUGGGGUUCUGUGCGUCCCCUGGCCUCGGCGGGCGGUUGGAGGGACCCCCUGUAAUCAGGCGGGUGUCCCUGGCCCCGGUCUUUCAGAGGCAUGGGGCCAGGAGUCAUGGGGCCGGGCGUGUGCCCUCCCUGUCCUCGGGGCUGGGCUCGCGGCCCCUCGGGCCCCUCGGCUUUAGGCCGUGAGCUCGACUGCCUGACUGUAGAGUCAGGUUCCUGUUGCCUUGGGGGAAGGCCGAGCUCCGUGGCUCCCUGGGUGUGGACCGGCCUGUAAGCAGGCUGCGGGUCUGGGAGCCUUUGUGCUCCCUUCAGCUGGCAGCCUGUGUGCGGCGCCCGCCCCGUUAGUGGGGAGCGCCCCGGAACUGGAGAGAAGGAGCCUCCAUAGGCCUUGGGGACCAGAGCCGCCCUGUAAGUGGGGGCCAGUGCUCUGGAGUCCCGGGCACUUUGAAGUCCAGGCAGCAGCUUGAGCCCCCUGUAAGCAGGGGUGCAGCCUCUUGGCCGCUGCUUUGCGUGCCCAGCUUCAUUUGCCCAGAGGGCCCGGCUCCCAGCACGGCGUGGGACUGCGCCGGACGUCGCCAUGAACCGUGGGACGGCGAGGCAAGAGCAAACUUGGAGCUGAAGAGGGACACCAGGGGCCCUCUGGGCAAAGGGCUUUUCCAGGCCAGGGCACCUUCAGGGUGCCGCGGCCGGCUUUGCGCUGGGCGACCUCCCUGUGCGCAGGGCUGGGUCUUUGCUGCGGUUGGCCUUUUGCCCUUGUGCUCCUUUGGCUGCCCGGAGAGAGGGGCAACCCUGUAAAGGAGGGUGAGUGCCCCUGUCUCCGCACCGGAGGGGGGAAACGGAGCUCUCCCGGCCCCCAGCCCAGCUACCCUGUAAGCAGGGCAGGGCUUUUCCCCAGCCCCGGCAGCUUUCUGCCUGCUGCCAGCCCCUGGCCAGUGUGACCCCCUGUACUCGGGGCGUGUCACAGCCCGUGUCCCCGUGCCAGGCCUGAAGCACUUCAGCGCGUCGAGGCCCCUUGUGGCCUCCUCUCAGUGCACGGGCAGGUCUGAUGCUUUCCUCUCCCGCUCAGCAUUAGGAAUGGCUCCCUAGAGUAGGUUGGCUGCACAGAGCUUGCUCCCUCUUCUGGGACUGUCUGUCUCCCCCUCCCCUGUCUGUCUCCCCCUCCCCUGUCUUCCCCUUAGCUGGGUGUGAGUGAGGAAGUGUGUUUGUGCUUUAGCCCCCCGCUUUAGAAACAGAGCAGUGUAGCUCAGACUUCCCAGGAGGGAAAGAGGAGCUCUGUGCAGCCACAGGCGGGUGCCCAAAAUGCACGGGUGGAGAAAGCGUCCGGCCUUGCCCCUGCUUUCUGAGGACGGCGCGAAGCCGCUUAGCGGCAGCGUGGGCACCACGACCCGCCUGUAGCCAGGGCCUGGGCGUGCGCCCACGCUGCCGGUGAUGCUGGUGAACUGCCAGCGUGCGGGCCCCGUACUCGGGGCACGUGUCAGGACCUUGGCGGCACCCUUUGUCCUCAGGAGCAGCCCCGCCCAGGUCCCUGUAAGCAGGGCUGGGGAGGCUCCUUUAGCCAGGCGACAGGAACGAGCGCUCCCGGGCCCUUGCCAGGGGGCAGCUUGCAGAAGGGCCGUGCCGCAGGGCACGGUCCCGCCUUUGGCACUGCCUCGGGCUGGCGCCACAUGCCUGGCGGCCUUGUAGAGGAGGCUGCCGAGGCUCUGCAGACGGCUGUGCUGCCGUGCUGCGCUGCGGCCGGGCUCCGGCCUGUCCCUAAGUGGGGUGCAGGCCGGAGCCUGUGCUCCGCAGUGCUUGUUGGGGGGUGCCGGGCAGCAGGGGGCGGCCCCGUAAGUGGGGUUCUGUGCGUCCCCUGGCCUCGGCGGGCGGUUGGAGGGACCCCCUGUAAUCAGGCGGGUGUCCCUGGCCCCGGUCUUUCAGAGGCAUGGGGCCAGGAGUCAUGGGGCCGGGCGUGUGCCCUCCCUGUCCUCGGGGCUGGGCUCGCGGCCCCUCGGGCCCCUCGGCUUUAGGCCGUGAGCUCGACUGCCUGACUGUAGAGUCAGGUUCCUGUUGCCUUGGGGGAAGGCCGAGCUCCGUGGCUCCCUGGGUGUGGACCGGCCUGUAAGCAGGCUGCGGGUCUGGGAGCCUUUGUGCUCCCUUCAGCUGGCAGCCUGUGUGCGGCGCCCGCCCCGUUAGUGGGGAGCGCCCCGGAACUGGAGAGAAGGAGCCUCCAUAGGCCUUGGGGACCAGAGCCGCCCUGUAAGUGGGGGCCAGUGCUCUGGAGUCCCGGGCACUUUGAAGUCCAGGCAGCGGCUUGAGCCCCCUGUAAGCAGGGGUGCAGCCUCUUGGCCGCUGCUUUGCGUGCCCAGCUUCAUUUGCCCAGAGGGCCCGGCUCCCAGCACGGCGUGGGACUGCGCCGGACGUCGCCAUGAACUGUGGGACGGCGAGGCAAGAGAGAGCUUGGAGCUGAAGAGGGACACCAGGGGCCCUCUGGGCAAAGGGCUUUUCCAGGCCAGGGCACCUUCAGGGUGCCGCGGCCGGCUUUGCGCUGGGCGACCUCCCUGUGCGCAGGGCUGGGUCUUUGCUGCGGUUGGCCUUUUGCCCUUGUGCUCCUUUGGCUGCCCGGAGAGAGGGGCAACCCUGUAAAGGAGGGUGAGUGCCCCUGUCUCCGCACCGGAGGGGGGAAACGGAGCUCUCCCGGCCCCCAGCCCAGCUACCCUGUAAGCAGGGCAGGGCUUUUCCCCAGCCCCGGCAGCUUUCUGCCUGCUGCCGGCCCCUGGCCAGUGUGACCCCCUGUACUCGGGGCGUGUCACAGCCCGUGUCCCCGUGCCAGGCCUGAAGCGCUUCAGCGCGUCGAGGCCCCUUGUGGCCUCCUCUCAGUGCACGGGCAGGUCUGAUGCUUUCCUCUCCCGCUCAGCAUUAGGAAUGGCUCCCUAGAGUAGGUUGGCUGCACAGAGCUUGCUCCCUCUUCUGGGACUGUCUCCCCCUCUCCUGUCUUCCCCUUAGCCGGUGUGAGUGAGGAAGUGUGUUUGUGCUUUCGCCCCCCUUCUUUAGAAACAGAGCAGUGUAGCUCAGACUUCCCAGGAGGGAAAGAGGAGCUCUGUGCAGCCACAGGCGGGUGCCCAAAAUGCACGGGUGGAGAAAGCGUCCGGCCUUGCCCCUGCUUUCUGAGGACGGCGCGAAGCCGCUUAGCGGCAGCGUGGGCACCACGACCCGCCUGUAGCCAGGGCCUGGGCGUGCGCCCACGCUGCCGGUGGUGCUGGUGAACUGCCAGCGUGCGGGCCCCGUACUCGGGGCACGUGUCAGGACCUUGGCGGCACCCUUUGUCCCCAGGAGCAGCCCCGCCCAGGUCCCUGUAAGCAGGGCUGGGGAGGCUCCUUUAGCCAGGCGACAGGAACGAGCGCUCCCGGGCCCUUGCCAGGGGGCAGCUUGCAGAAGGGCCGUGCCGCAGGGCACGGUCCCGCCUUUGGCACUGCCUCGGGCUGGCGCCACAUGCCUGGCGGCCUUGUAGAGGAGGCUGCCGAGGCUCUGCAGACGGCUGUGCUGCCGUGCUGCGCUGCGGCCGGGCUCCGGCCUGUCCCUAAGUGGGGUGCAGGCCGGAGCCUGUGCUCCGCAGUGCUUGUUGGGGGGUGCCGGGCAGCAGGGGGCGGCCCCGUAAGUGGGGUUCUGUGCGUCCCCUGGCCUCGGCGGGCGGUUGGAGGGACCCCCUGUAAUCAGGCGGGUGUCCCUGGCCCCGGUCUUUCAGAGGCAUGGGGCCAGGAGUCAUGGGGCCGGGCGUGUGCCCUCCCUGUCCUCGGGGCUGGGCUCGCGGCCCCUCGGGCCCCUCGGCUUUAGGCCGUGAGCUCGACUGCCUGACUGUAGAGUCAGGUUCCUGUUGCCUUGGGGGAAGGCCGAGCUCCGUGGCUCCCUGGGUGUGGACCGGCCUGUAAGCAGGCUGCGGGUCUGGGAGCCUUUGUGCUCCCUUCAGCUGGCAGCCUGUGUGCGGCGCCCGCCCCGUUAGUGGGGAGCGCCCCGGAACUGGAGAGAAGGAGCCUCCAUAGGCCUUGGGGACCAGAGCCGCCCUGUAAGUGGGGGCCAGUGCUCUGGAGUCCCGGGCACUUUGAAGUCCAGGCAGCGGCUUGAGCCCCCUGUAAGCAGGGGUGCAGCCUCUUGGCCGCUGCUUUGCGUGCCCAGCUUCAUUUGCCCAGAGGGCCCGGCUCCCAGCACGGCGUGGGACUGCGCCGGACGUCGCCAUGAACUGUGGGACGGCGAGGCAAGAGAGAGCUUGGAGCUGAAGAGGGACACCAGGGGCCCUCUGGGCAAAGGGCUUUUCCAGGCCAGGGCACCUUCAGGGUGCCGCGGCCGGCUUUGCGCUGGGCGACCUCCCUGUGCGCAGGGCUGGGUCUUUGCUGCGGUUGGCCUUUUGCCCUUGUGCUCCUUUGGCUGCCCGGAGAGAGGGGCAACCCUGUAAAGGAGGGUGAGUGCCCCUGUCUCCGCACCGGAGGGGGGAAACGGAGCUCUCCCGGCCCCCAGCCCAGCUACCCUGUAAGCAGGGCAGGGCUUUUCCCCAGCCCCGGCAGCUUUCUGCCUGCUGCCGGCCCCUGGCCAGUGUGACCCCCUGUACUCGGGGCGUGUCACAGCCCGUGUCCCCGUGCCAGGCCUGAAGCGCUUCAGCGCGUCGAGGCCCCUUGUGGCCUCCUCUCAGUGCACGGGCAGGUCUGAUGCUUUCCUCUCCCGCUCAGCAUUAGGAAUGGCUCCCUAGAGUAGGUUGGCUGCACAGAGCUUGCUCCCUCUUCUGGGACUGUCUGUCUCCCCCUCCCCUGUCUGUCUCCCCCUCCCCUGUCUUCCCCUUAGCCAGUGUGAGUGAGGAAGUGUGUUUGUGCUUUAGCCCCCCGCUUUAGAAACAGAGCAGUGUAGCUCAGACUUCCCAGGAGGGAAAGAGGAGCUCUGUGCAGCCACAGGCGGGUGCCCAAAAUGCACGGGUGGAGAAAGCGUCCGGCCU